rnacentral:rRNA from 1 species
CAGUCGCCACGGUAAUACGUGGGUGGCAAGCGCUGUCCGGAAUUAUUGGGCGUAAAGGGAGCGUAGGCGGAUCGUUAAGUUGGGGGUGAAAGCCCGGGGCUCAACCUCGGAACUGCCUUCAAUACUGGCGAUCUUGAGUAUGAGAGAGGUGUGUGGAACUCCGAGUGUAGAGGUGAAAUUCGUAGAUAUUCGGAAGAACACCAGUGGCGAAGGCGACACACUGGCUCAUUACUGACGCUGAGGAGCGAAAGCGUGGGGAGCGAACAGGAUUAGAUACCCGUGUAGUCCCUGUCUCUUAUAU